rnacentral:tRNA from 1 species
CCCGGCCUGGCCCGGGUUCUCCGGCUGCGGCUGCUCCGGCCCGCCGGGGCCCGCGUCCUGCGUCGGAGUCGCGGCGCCGGGC